rnacentral:lncRNA from 1 species
GUGAGGGCGCUGCGUAGCGUGGCGGGGGUCAGUACUGUUGAGGGCGUUCGGAUUGGGAAGAUGAGGUUGAGUGGCAGCAUUAUCAAUGCGAGUGGUCCCCUUGUGCUCCCAAUGUCUUGGGGAUGGUGUGCGGCUCGUGCACUGUGGGCUUCCCCCGGUCGGCCUGUGGGCGGGGCCAGUGCGGGAAAUGGGGGGGAUUUUGCAGAGCCUGAUGUGGCGGGUGCCUGUAGUGCAGCGUGUAUCCUAGCAUUGGACUGGCGGGUGGGGCCGGGACUGACAUUGCUUUGUGCCUCUCGUAAUAUAAUGACUUAUUUCAUCUUUGUUUC